rnacentral:misc_RNA from 1 species
GGGGUAUUUUAAAAGCAGUUAUUAAGUUUUUUUCUUUAAAGCUUUUGAACUUAAUAACACUUUAAGUUAACCUUGUAAACAUCAUUAAGUUUACCUUUCAAAGAUCAAAGAACAAUUAUUAAAACCUUUUUGAUCAGAUAACUAAUAAACUAACUAACUAAAUCAUUGAUGCAUAAUUAACUGCAUCAUUUUUUUUAUUAUUUUUAACGCAAAAAAUGCAGAUUUAUCUGUUCAAACCAAUGAUUUAAAAAAAGCUUUUUUUUAUUAUUAAUCAUUGGUUAUUUUUUACUUGUGAUUUUAGCUUUAAUGCUUAUAAAAAAAUCCAAUGAUAAAAGUUUUUUAGAAAAGUGUUGUGCAAACUGAUUUGUUGUGCUAUAAUCUUUAAGGCUUAUAUAGCUACAUUGUUCUUUGAAAACUGAAUACGACAAAUCUUUCUAGUCCGAAAUUUGAUUAAAGUAUCAAAUCAAAUUUCAUAUAAUAUAGAUUCAAUAAAAAUAGCUAAUGGAUCAAAUACAUAAGUUACUAAGGGCUUAU